rnacentral:rRNA from 1 species
UGAGUAACACGUAUCCAACCUGCCGUCUACUCUUGGCCAGCCUUCUGAAAGGAAGAUUAAUCCAGGAUGGCAUCAUGAGUUCACAUGUCCGCAUGAUUAAAGGUAUUUCCGGUAGACGAUGGGGAUGCGUUCCAUUAGAUAGUAGGCGGGGUAACGGCCCACCUAGUCAACGAUGGAUAGGGGCUCUGAGAGGAAGGUCCCCCACAUUGGAACUGAGACACGGUCCAA